UUGGAUUGUGUCGACUUUCGUGAGUCCGACGUAGCUAGCAGCAGCCAGCAGGACAAGGUUUAGGUUUAGGUUUAGGUUUGCCUAAUCCCUUUUGAGUCAGGGCAGGUGACGUGAGGGCACAACACAGGGGACAACCCCAACACCCCAACCCCCGCGGGUGGCCUAGAGAGACGAGAGACUAGACCGGCGACUCGAGCUUACAACCAUAUUUCAACGGUGUAAGUGGGUGCAAGCAAGUUGGUGCACUGUAGAAAGAGAAGCAUUUGAAUGGCUGUCAUCAGAUGGACCUCGAGCGAAGAAAAGCAGGGAAGGCAAGCAGCGAGUUUGGGGGAGAUUUCCCCUGGCUACCUUACAGGUAUCACUACCACAGUGCUGGUGAAACGUAGCUGCUUUCACAGAUGACGGCAUGUUUGACUUGUGGAUAUUCCAUAGCAUGCGACAAAUGCAACAGUUCCCUGUGCUUCGCUAUGAGCUCCCGCGUGGAGGCCAAUCGCAACAGUUUUCAUGUGCUGUUGCGUGCCGUUUGGAGCGCGCUAUCUUGGAAAAUAUGGAUAAUGCUUCUGGGAGAGCCGAAGGAAGGCUGUCUGCCGAGGACCUCCCGACCUCAACACUCAUUCGAAAGGUGCUCUGCUGGACACAUAUUUCCUUGUACCCAGAGGCGGAGAGUUUUCAUUUUCCCAGGGGGGGCAAGGGCGCACCGCGAAAUAAGUACUUUGGCGGGGGGGAUAUGUUUAUUAAGAAAAAAAAGAAAGGUAAGCCAGAUGGAUGUCGGCGUGUUAUUCCAAAAAAAAAGUGAAAGGGGAAGACAAAAAAGGAAAAGAAAAAAGAAAGCAAAAGGAAACAAAAAGAAGGAAAGAAAAGAAAAAUGAAGAACACAAAACUAAUCACACACUCUGGCGGGAUCUUAUGAUGUAUGCAGAACUGGUAUAGAAAUAAGAGGAAGGAAGAACAGAAAAAAAGAAAUACAGAGAGAACGUAAACAGUGAACAUGUGCACAACUGAAGGCAUUACGCCUUUGAAAACUGAGUGCAAAGGGAACAAAAUGCAUUGAAUCGUCGGUGUUUGACCCGAAAUGCGCGCAAUAUUAUGAAUAUGGUCAAUGAAAUGGACCAGCAGGAGUUGAACCAGCUCCCAACGGAUAUGCGUUCCGAAGAUUCUACCGUUGCACCUCACUGGCACCUGCAGGUACCUUUUCGACUGCUUUCGUUUCAUUGAUCUGAUUGCUUUGGGCGAAAUUCAGGCAAUGUGUUGUGUCAUCCUCUGUGUUUCUUCGCCUCACCUUCAACUGUGAUAAUUAGUAUGGUGGGCGGAUACAUAUUUUACAAAUUGCAAGAUGCUUUUUUGGGGUUGGUGCCUCUUCGCUCUUUUGACCCGAGCGCUCCGAGCCCCAAAGGUUGGUGUCAGUCUCUUAGCGGGACUUCCCGGGGGAGGCGGCGCCCCCCCUAGUUCAUGUUCCGGGGGGGCAAGAGCCCCUGCGCCUCCCCGCAGUCGGCGCCUAUGCUUGUACCCAUAUCCCCUUGUACCCAUAUCCAUAAGUAAGUCCCCAUAAGUAACCCAUAUCCAUAAGUCCACCAUAUAAAGCAGGGGCACAGGCUCAUGACGACGACCUGGUAGGCAGACAACCAUAGAAGACAAAGCUACAUUACUCUCACAUGCCACUUCAUCUAUGGUAAUUCAUUUUCUUGUUCUUCUGUAGAUAGCGGGAAAUGAGAUUCCAUAUUCCACAUAAAAUCACACUUCCUCUGGUUCAUUUACAAGGAACUUUGAGCAGCAAUAUAUCACUCUCACCACAGGAAACAAGACAUGAAACAAGGAACACAGACACAGUGGCGACACCAUCACUGAUGAACUUUUCAAGUGCAUCGAUGACUUUGAAACAAGAGGAAAGGUGGUGCAUUCUGUCACUGGCACUGGAUCAAAUGUAAGGUGGGCCGCCUGGACAGCACAGGCAUAGGGCGACGCGCUUUUUGGAAGAUCCAAC